GAUGAACGCUGGCGGCGUGCUUAACACAUGCAAGUCGAACGGUGAAAGAGAGCUUGCUCUCUGGAUCAGUGGCGAACGGGUGAGUAACACGUGAGCAAUCUGCCCUUGACUCUGGGAUAAGCGCUGGAAACGGCGUCUAAUACCGGAUACGAGCUGCGAAGGCAUCUUCAGCAGCUGGAAAGAACUUCGGUCAGGGAUGAGCUCGCGGCCUAUCAGCUAGUUGGUGAGGUAACGGCUCACCAAGGCGUCGGCGGGUAGCCGGCCUGAGAGGGUGACCGGCCACACUGGGACUGAGACACGGCCCAGACUCCUACGGGAGGCAGCAGUGGGGAAUAUUGCACAAUGGGCGAAAGCCUGAUGCAGCAACGCCGCGUGAGGGACGACGGCCUUCGGGUUGUAAACCUCUUUUAGCAGGGAAGAAGCGAAAGUGACGGUACCUGCAGAAAAAGCACCGGCUAACUACGUG
rnacentral:rRNA from 1 species